GUCAGGAUAGCUCAGUUGGUAGAGCAGGGACUGAAAUC
rnacentral:tRNA from 1 species